AAUCUUGCACAAUGGGCGAAAGCCUGAUGCAGCGACGCCGCGUGAGGGAUGACGGCCUUCGGGUUGUAAACCUCUUUCAGCAGGGAAGAAGCGCAAGUGACGGUACCUGCAGAAGAAGCACCGGCUAACUACGUGCCAGCAGCCGCGGUAAUACGUAGGGUGCGAGCGUUAUCCGGAGUGACUGGGCGUAAAGAGUUGCGUAGGCGGCCCGUUAAGUGGAUAGUGAAACCUGGUGGCUCAACCAUACAGACUAUUAUCCAAACUGGCGAGCUCGAGAAUGGUAGAGGUGGCUGGAAUUUCUAGUGUAGGAGUGAAAUCCGUAGAUAUUAGAAGGAACACCGAUGGCGUAGGCAGGCCACUGGACCAUUUCUGACGCUAAGGCACGAAAGCGUGGGGAGCGAAC
rnacentral:rRNA from 1 species